AGCAGUCGCCGCGGUAAAACGGAGGAUCCAAGCGUUAUCCGGAUUUAUUGGGUUUAAAGGGUGCGUAGGUGGCCUGUUAAGUCAGGGGUGAAAGACGGUAGCUUAACUAUCGCAGUGCCCUUGAUACUGAUGGGCUUGAAUGAACUAGAGGUAGGCAGAAUGUGACAAGUAGCGGUGAAAUGCAUAGAUAUGUCACAGAACACCAAUUGCGAAGGCAGCUUACUAUGGUUUUAUUGACACUGAGGCACGAAAGCGUGGGGAUCAAACAGGAUUAGAGACCCCCGUAGUCCCUGUCUCUUAUAC
rnacentral:rRNA from 1 species